AGGGCAGGGCCCGACUCACCGGGCCCUGCAGGUUGCUGGGAAGGGCGCUCCCCCCCCUCCCAGCAUGGCGGCGAUCAGGGGGCUUCUUCUUCCCAGGAGCCCCCUCGGCGCGGCGGGAAAGUUUCCCGCCGUCAGGGCCCUCCGUGGGCGGGGCCGCACCAGGCUCCGCCCCCAACAAGGUCUUCAGCAGCCAUUCUGAGGCUGCAUAGCUGCCUUCCAAGCAGUUGACCCGGGUUCGGUUCCCGGCCAACGCAAUUAAUUUUGAAGGAGACGGAAAAUCUGGGGAAGGGCUAUGGCGCCAAAAAGGAGCACUAGGGCAGCAGCGGGUAUUGAGAAGGAGUUGCCGGCUAGAACUACGAGGCCGCCCAGGAGCAAGGCAACAGCUGAGCCUGAGCCUAGAAGAAAAGCACCUAGUAAGGCGCCCAUGCGCAAGGCAGCUCCAAGACGCGCGGGUAAGCAGGAUGAGGGCGCGCUGGAAGGGAUUUCCCAGAAUCUUGCUCGCUUGGUGGAUAGAAUGGGAAAACUUGAAUCUAGAGUUUAUCAGAGAUCCGACAGGGCAUCAGUAUCCCCGCAACGGGAUGCAACAAGGGGCAGGAGACGCACGAGGGACAGGGACGUCUCCAGGACACCCUCAGCUAGUCCAGUAUCCAGCGGUGACGACUCCACAGCGGCCACCGAGCGGACCGAACGGAGUGGCGGCAGUGCUCGCAAGAGGUCGCGCAGGUCUUCCAGACGUUGUUGCCAGACUGCUACCGACAGCGACUCCACGGAGAGACGACAGGUUUCGGUCGCUAGCGCCGGACGCAGACCUCCAGCCCACCAUUUUCCCACAGGAGCUGUGGACCCUUGGAGAGGAGAGGCCUGGUCAGAACUAAUGCUAACCAUCGCACCUGCGACCAGGAGGGCUUACCGUGCAGCUAUGACAGCAUUCACCAAGUUCAGGCUGGAAGCGGGUUAUGGCAGCAGAUGGCCAACCAGCGAGGACGAGGUGCUACAUUUCAUCAUUCGCCAGAGGAGGGCCAACGUCUCAGCACACGCCAUGCGGCGGCAACUGGCAGGCAUUGCCUUCUACAGCAAAGCGGCAGGAUGGGGAGACCCAUGCAACGACUACAGAACAAGGAAGUUACUGAGAGGGUGGAGCAAGAGGGCGCCAAGACAGAAAGACAGACGACGUCCCCUCUCCUACAACAUCCUUAGCAGGCUCAUCUCGUCACUGAAGAAAAUCUGCACUUCACGUUGCGAGGUGAAACUUUUCACAGCAGCUUAUACCACAGCUUUCUUCGGGGCACUCAGACUGGGGGAGGUGGUGGCCGACUCCAAGGCUGAUGGGUCAGGGAAGGCACUACAGCUCAGGGAUGUCUCCAUCGGGCAUAACUCGUUAGUGAUUAGGAUCAGACAAUCCAAGACCGAUCAAGGGGGGAGAGGGGCAUCCCUCAGCAUUCAAGGGUUAGAACCAGGGCGGUUAUGUCCAGUCAGGGCACUUUCCGAAUAUCUACACAUACGCAGGUCAUCCUCAGGUACACUUUUCAUUCAUCAAGGUACCAGUUCAUGGCGAUAUUCCGCAGCGCACUAACCGGCCUGGGCCUCCCCGCAGCGGAAUACGGAGGGCAUUCAUUCAGGAUAGGAGCAGCCACCACUGCAGCGGUGGGGGGCGUGCCAGUGGACAUCAUAAAAACCAUGGGGAGGUGGAAAUCAGCAGCUUACACUUCAUACAUCAGACCCGGCCUUCUACAGGAGGCUACGAGGUCUGCCGGCCCCUCUCCUCCUUUUCUUCAGGUGCGCUGCCGUGAACUGAGAAGAUCGGUCGAAGGGACGGAGAUGGCAUCAUACAGUAGCGGUCAGUCGGGAGGAACCGGGCGCCGAGGACGCCACAGGAAGGACAAAAUUGCCCGCUAGGCACUGGACGGAUUGUCUAGGACUCUCGCAAAAGUGGCGAGGUGGUGGAGGACUCAGGUUAUCGGACAGCUGCAUGGCAGCGCUUCAGGCCCACUGCUGGGGCAAGCGGUAUCCAGUUAUUCACAUUGUUAUUCAAGUCAUUGUUUUAUUUUGUUGGCUAUGGAAGUUAGGGUUGGCGGCAAGGAGAGUGGGGGGUCCCCACCCUCCUUUUGUGGCGUAUGACAUGGGUCGCGGAUCUCGUAAAAUACUCCACCCCCCCCCCUUUUCAUUGGCAUUAGGGGGGAGGGGAUAUUUUGGCCACCGCCAGGUGGCGCUGGAGACCGACUACCGGGUCAGGUGUCGGUUGUGCCGUGACUCUUGUGGAUCAGACAGCAUUGGGCUGUCUGAUCGUUGAUCCGGGACCCAUGCAGGCAGCCAACCCUUCAUUCUGUAACCAAUAAAAUGUUGUGGCCAGUUUUACCCAAAGCAGUUAUUGUCAGUGUGUUUAUUGUUAACCAGCAUACGGCGGGGACAGUCGACCAUGCCCACGCAAAGGGCAGGGCCCGACUCACCGGGCCCUGCAGGUUGCUGGGAAGGGCGCUCCCCCCCCUCCCAGCAUGGCAGCGAUCAGGGGGCUUCUUCUUCCCAGGAGCCCCCUCGGCGCGGCGGGAAAGUUUCCCGCCGUCAGGGCCCUCCGUGGGCGGGGCCGCACCAGGCUCCGCCCCCAACAAGGUCUUCAGCAGCCAUUCUGAGGCUGCAGCUUGCCAUCCCGCCCACCCUGCUGGCUUUUAUGUUACUUUGUUUGUCACAACUGUUGGUGGCGUAUGACAUGGGUCGCGGAUCUCGUAAAAUACUCCACCCCCCCCCUUUUCAUUGGCAUUAGGGGGGAGGGGAUAUUUUGGCCACCGCCAGGUGGCGCUGGAGACCGACUACCGGGUCAGGUGUCGGUUGUGCCGUGACUCUUGUGGAUCAGACAGCAUUGGGCUGUCUGAUCGUUGAUCCGGGACCCAUGCAGGCAGCCAACCCUUCAUUCUGUAACCAAUAAAAUGUUGUGGCCAGUUUUACCCAAAGCAGUUAUUGUCAGUGUGUUUAUUGUUAACCAGCAUACGGCGGGGACAGUCGACCAUGCCCA
rnacentral:lncRNA from 11 species